rnacentral:lncRNA from 1 species
GUUGUUCAACGAACCUCGUUCUGUACGGUUACACAAGUGAUCGGAGGACUUGGUAAUGGUCAGGUCUGAGGUCGGCAAAGAAAAUUAUUCCCGGAACUGCACGAACAUUCAAAAUCAAUCAAGCACAUAAUCAGGCCAUGAGGGAAUGCCAGUGAAAAUCCCAGUUAGAACAGUUUCAGGCAGUUGUCUGGAAAGUUGCACAUGUGCACGUCCCUGGGCAAUGUAGCCAUGCAGGGUAUGCAGACACAGAAGGC